rnacentral:rRNA from 1 species
UACGUAGGGUGCGAGCGUUGUCCGGAAUUAUUGGGCGUAAAGAGCUUGUAGGCGGUUUGUCGCGUCUGCUGUGAAAAUCCGGGGCUCAACCCCGGACUUGCAGUGGGUACGGGCAGACUAGAGUGUGGUAGGGGAGACUGGAAUUCCUGGUGUAGCGGUGAAAUGCGCAGAUAUCAGGAGGAACACCGGUGGCGAAGGCGGUUCUCUGGGCCUGUACUGACGCUGGAGGAGCGAAAGCGUGGGGGAGCGAACAGG